rnacentral:lncRNA from 1 species
CCUUGCAAAGAGCCGCUGCUUGGGAAUGGGAGCAGGAGUGCUCAGGGGCUUGGGAGAGGGCAGAUAAAGGGCAGCUAGAGAGGGAGAGCUGAGCCAAAGGGUGGGGUCCCUUCUGGUCUAGGGUGCUGGCUACUGUGAAAUAACAAGAGUCCAAGAGCAAGGUGUCCAGAGUCAGAGCUCCUGGGUUUGAACCUUGUUCCACCAGCACAUCCUACCUCUGUGGCCUGGUCCUUCAGCUCCUACUUAAUGGAAGCCUCGCAGAUGCAAGAUGGCUCCAGCAGGCCCAGCAUCACUUCUUCUCAGUGUCCCAAAGCCAGAAGAGAGGCUGUUGUUUUUAAAAGCAGGAAAACUUUCCUAAACUUGGCCAGAAUUGCAUCACAGACCCUUUCCUAAAACAAUUUCCAGCAAAGGGAAUAGACUUACCAUGUCUGGUACAGAUGAAUCAAGGUUUGCCCCUGGGGGCUGGGGAGGGGCUUGUCCCGCUGAAGCAGACUCUUGCCCAGCAGCUGAACGAAGCCUAGGUUCACCAGACGGAGGAAGAGACUGGCCACUAACAGUGCCUGACACACAGAUGUGCUUCCUGUGAUAUCGCUGCUGCCACCGUUCCAAAUGUAAGCAGUUGGCUGUCUGGGAUACUACCUACCUUCUUUUGUGUUCUUAUUAAUAAAAUUAAAGAUUGCUUUCUGG